rnacentral:rRNA from 1 species
CCUGGCUCAGGACGAACGCUGGCGGCGUGCCUAACACAUGCAAGUCGAACGGAGAAUUUUAUUUCGGUAGAAUUCUUAGUGGCGAACGGGUGAGUAACGCGUAGGCAACCUGCCCUUUAGACGGGGACAACAUUCCGAAAGGAGUGCUAAUACCGGAUGUGAUCAUCUUGCCGCAUGGCAGGAUGAAGAAAGAUGGCCUCUACAAGUAAGCUAUCGCUAAAGGAUGGGCCUGCGUCUGAUUAGCUAGUUGGUAGUGUAACGGACUACCAAGGCGAUGAUCAGUAGCCGGUCUGAGAGGAUGAACGGCCACAUUGGGACUGAGACACGGCCCAAACUCCUACGGGAGGCAGCAGUGGGGAAUCUUCCGCAAUGGACGAAAGUCUGACGGAGCAACGCCGCGUGAGUGAUGAAGGAUUUCGGUCUGUAAAGCUCUGUUGUUUAUGACGAACGUGCAGUGUGUGAACAAUGCAUUGCAAUGACGGUAGUAAACGAGGAAGCCACGGCUAACUACGUGCCAGCAGCCGCGGUAAUACGUAGGUGGCGAGCGUUGUCCGGAAUUAUUGGGCGUAAAGAGCAUGUAGGCGGCUUAAUAAGUCGAGCGUGAAAAUGCGGGGCUCAACCCCGUAUGGCGCUGGAAACUGUUAGGCUUGAGUGCAGGAGAGGAAAGGGGAAUUCCCAGUGUAGCGGUGAAAUGCGUAGAUAUUGGGAGGAACACCAGUGGCGAAGGCGCCUUUCUGGACUGUGUCUGACGCUGAGAUGCGAAAGCCAGGGUAGCGAACGGGAUUAGAUACCCCGGUAGUCCUGGCCGUAAACGAUGGGUACUAGGUGUAGGAGGUAUCGACCCCUUCUGUGCCGGAGUUAACGCAAUAAGUACCCCGCCUGGGGAGUACG